UGACCAGCGACGCCGCGUGCGGGAUGAAGGCCUUCGGGUUGUAAACCGCUUUCAGCAGGGAAGAAGCGAAAGUGACGGUACCUGCAGAAGAAGCACCGGCUAACUAUGUGCCAGCAGCCGCGGUAAUACAUAGGGUGCAAGCGUUGUCCGGAAUUAUUGGGCGUAAAGAGCUCGUAGGUGGUUCGUCACGUCGGAUGUGAAACUCUGGGGCUUAACCCCAGACCUGCAUUCGAUACGGGCGAGCUUGAGUAUGGUAGGGGAGUCUGGAAUUCCUGGUGUAGCGGUGGAAUGCGCAGAUAUCAGGAGGAACACCAAUGGCGAAGGCAGGACUCUGGGCCAUUACUGACACUGAGGAGCGAAAGCGUGGGGAGCGAACAGGAUUAGAUACCCUGGUAGUCCACGCCGUAAACGGUGGGCACUAGUUGUGGGGACCUUCCACGGUCUCUGCGACGCAGCUAACGCAUUAAGUGCCCCGCCUGGGGAGUACGAUCGCAAGAUUAAAACU
rnacentral:rRNA from 1 species